UACGGGGGGGGCAAGCGUUGUUCGGAAUUACUGGGCGUAAAGGGCUCGUAGGCGGCCAACUAAGUCAGACGUGAAAUCCCUCGGCUUAACCGGGGAACUGCGUCUGAUACUGGAUGGCUCGAGGUUGGGAGAGGGAUGCGGAAUUCCAGGUGUAGCGGUGAAAUGCGUAGAUAUCUGGAGGAACACCGGUGGCGAAGGCGGCAUCCUGGACCAAUUCUGACGCUGAGUGAGCGAAAGCCAGGGGAGCAAACGGG
rnacentral:rRNA from 1 species